CGAGACUGACAGCUGAGCGGCAUUUGGUGGAAUUUGUUCUCAUGAUUUCAAAAGUGAACUAAAACAUGUCUCGCGACGAAAAUAAUGGAUUUAGUGAAUGGGGCGGCUACUUCGAGGCCAAGAAAUCCAAGUUGGAGGAGCAGUUCGCGGCCGCCAGCGAUCCAUUUCGCAAAUCUGACCUGUUUAAAGGUAUUUCCAUAUUUGCUAAUGGCCUGACCAAUCCAUCGGCGGAUGAACUGAAGCGCAUUAUGAUGGUACACGGCGGAACCUUUCACCACUACGAAAGGAGCCACACUACCUUCCUAAUAGGCUCUGUGCUGCCAGACGUCAAGGUCCGGAACACGAAUCUCAGCAAAACUAUCAGUGCCAAGUGGGUGGUGGAUUGUCUGGCCAACAACAAAAUAAUGGACUACAAGCCUUAUCUGUUGUACACCAACCAGAAGACUUCGCAACCCAGGCUUGAUUUUGGAAAGAUGACCAAAAAUGGUAGUAUAAGUGAGAGCAAGAUGGUGAUGGAGCACCCGCCAAAAAAUGAGCUUGGCGGGAUUCUCAAGGAGCUACAGCAGGCGGAAAAGGAGGUCAGCUUAUCCGAGAUUAAGAUCACCAACUUGGCCACCGAAGACAGUACUGCAGAUGAAAGCAAAUUAAAGGUGGAGGAGCCCCCGAAAGAUGAGCUGGUCGGGAUUCUCAAGGAGCUGCAGCAGGCAGUGACCACUUCGCCGGAAAAGCAAGCCAAUUUAUCCGAGAUCAAGAUCACAAACUUGUCCACCACUUCAAAUACUUCUAGCGUAGCACGUACCGCCGCUGAUCCUAACUUUCUGAGCGAAUUCUACAAGAACUCCCGCCUGCACCACAUUGCCACUCUGGGAGCUGGCUUUAAGCAGUAUGUGUGUGAGCUGCGCCAGAAUCAAGGCUCAAAGGGAUUCCCCAAGCGUGAGACACUGAAAUCCCUCAAAAAAUCCAACCAAAUGGGCUCAGAGCGCUUUGUUAUGCAUAUCGACAUGGACUGUUUCUUUGUGUCCGUGGGCCUGCGCUCGCACCCCGAGCUCCGUGGCCUGCCCAUUGCAGUGACUCAUUCAAAAGGAGGCAGUGCAGCUACCGAUGUGCCCGUGCAUCCGCAGGCGGAUAGAAAGGUCGAGCUUGAGCUAUUCGCCAAGCGCUUUGAGCACCACCUUCAUGACAACACCAAAGCCGAUAAGGUACGCUCUGGUUUCGACAAGAAGAUGUCGCUCUCGGAGAUCGCCUCCUGCAGCUACGAGGCUCGGGCCAAGGGCAUUCGCAAUGGCAUGUUCGUUGGUCAGGCCUUGAAGCUCUGCCCGGAGCUGAAGACGAUCCCCUACGACUUUGAAGGCUACAAGGAAGUGGCCUUUGCCCUGUACAACACAGUGGCCCAGUACACCUUGAACAUCGAGGCAGUGAGCUGCGAUGAAAUGUUUGUGGAGCUAACAGACCUGAUAAACGAACUGAAGGUGGAUGUGAUGGCUUUUGUGGGGCAUCUCAGGCAGGAAGUGCACGCCAAGACGGGAUGUCCGUGUUCAGCGGGUGUGUCCGGCAAUAAACUACUGGCCCGCAUGGCUACCAAGGGGGCCAAGCCCAACGGCCAGUUCUUGCUGGACUGCAAACAGGAUAUUCUGUCCUACAUGGCGCCAAUGUCGCUUGAUGCUCUGCCAGGAGUGGGAAGCAGCAUGAGCCACAAGCUCAAGCUGGCGGGCUUGAACAACUGUGGAGAUGUGCAGGGGACAUCACUGGAGAGGCUGGAAACGGUUCUGGGCAAGAAACUGGGCCAGAACUUAUUCCAGAACUGCAGGGGCAUUGAUGAACGUCCCUUGGCUUUUGAACAAGCGCGCAAAACGGUGUCCGCCGAGGUAAACUUCGGCAUCCGCUUUACCAAUUCGAAUGACUGCGAAAAGUUUCUGCGCCAGCUUAGCGACGAGGUUACCAAGAGACUUAUCGACAUUAAGCGCAAAACCAGGUCAAUCAACCUGAAGAUUAUGGUCCGUGCCCCCGAAGCGCCAGUGGAAACCUCCAAGUAUAUGGGUCACGGAGUGUGCGACACCAUCAACAAGUCCGCGCUUAUUAAGCAUGCCACUGAUGAUGUAAAUGUAAUCACCUCGCAAGUGCUCAACCUGAUGAAGGAAGCCGAUCUGUCGCCCCUUGAACUGCGCGGGAUUGGCAUACACCUUACUAAGUUGGAGGAUGCCAGCGAAGUUCCAAAGGAGAAUGUCAUCAAGCGCAUGUUCGUCAAAAUGUCAGAGAUUAAGAAAGAUCAACCUGCAGUGAAGAAACCAUUAAUCGAAGUUAAGUCUGUGGCACUGGAACAUUCGACCACGUCACUAAACGGAGACAAAGUGGAGAAACCGCCAGCAGAUGAGAUCAAAGCCAAGACCCGGGAGCCCAGGAACGUGAUGGCCAUGCUGACAGCAGCAGCAGUGCAGGGAAGAAAAUCGCUAAACGUGGAAGUAGUGCCACCUGGUGCUGAACUCGAUCCAGAUAUUCUGGCUCAGUUGCCGGAGGAUAUACGCCUCGAAGUGCUCACGCAUAAGGAGCAAUACCUGCGCAUAGCCGAAAGCGAUGGAAACACCGCUGCUGCUCCUCGUUCUCCGCCGCCUUUGAUGAGGCUCAACCACUCCACAAAUGGCAGUCCCUUAAACGCCAGCGAUCUGAAACCAUCUACUUCCCGGGCUGCCGUGGCCCGAUUGCAAGAGCGUACAAUUCGCAAGGAGCAAGCACCUCGCGUCCGAUCGGAUGAGAUCGUGGCGGAAUACAUUGAUGAGCUGCCCAAGCACAUGCAUCCCGCCAUUCUGGAGUACAUCUCGCGACCCGCCAACGAAGUGCCCGGCCUGUUGAUGGAGCACAACUACAAGAGCCUGCUCAACGAAUGGGUCAGCCGGGAGGAGGUGCCUAAGCCAAAGGACGUGGAAUUAAUUCACCGACAGAUCUCCCACAUGAUUAAAAACGACAAAUUGAAUCACAUAUACGACGUGAUGAAGUAUUUUUGCCGCAUCAUUAAUGCGAAACGAAGCAGCUCCUGUUGCUGGCAUGUGGCAUACAAGCACAUCGAGGAGAAUAUUCAAAACCAGAUUCUGGAGCUUGAGGGCUACAGCCUUUGCUUCACCGAAAACAUUCGCUGCUACAAGUGCACGUAAUUUCCUGGGAGCACCUCAAACAUGUUUCAAACGGAUAAGGUUAAGCUGGCUGAAAAGAAAUGCCACCGAGCCAUUUACAACUUCAAAUGUGCUCAGGUAGCAAUUAACGUAGCAAGAGCGGUAAAUAAUGUGGGGCUGUGGAUUGGUUGCUGCGACGAUGGCGUUGAUAACUUCAUACGUUAAAGGGCAGAGCCCCGUCUUCGAGGUGGCUUUAAACUGGCGGUGGCUUAAACCAAACGCCCCGGUGGCUCUUUCCCAGCACAGCAAAGCCGGGCCACUCAAGACAAAUAGGCCAGGCGGGCACAACACCUGGCGGAACUGGCAAGUCAUAAUUUGCACUUUAAUGAAAGCGGCAUCGCAUCCACUCGAACAGCUUACCAUGAAGAGGAGAGGACAUGGCCUAAGAAUUCGCAAAAAAUAAUUUAACUAACAUAUUAAUUAAUACAAACUUAAACAGCUCACCAUUAAUAAACAAGUCUGAGGCCAAUUGGUAUCGCAAAAUCAGAGUCCAAACCAAGCUGCAGCAUUCAGGCGACUGCCCAAUAAGGAAACGGCUCCUCGAAGGCGAUUUUCAUCCAGUAUUCUCCUGAUUGUGGGGCCCUGAACCUCAAAGACUUUAAAGCUCCCCGUCUUGUAAGCGACAGCUGCCUUGCAUUUCUUACAGCAUUUUUGCCGCGACUAGUUUGCGGACUAGUCUAGUCUGCAUCCCAUCUUUUUUUUCUUCCAGAAUCUCAUCCAAACUAGGUUUCCAGCCCAUUGCAGUUGUUUUAAUUAAAGCUGAGCUUGAUUUUUUACUUGCGUUGACCGAACGACAGGUGCAAAGUGCUUGAACAACACAGAACCAUCAGAAACAGCCUUGAAUAACAUCUCUUUGUGAUUUGAAUUUUUCCAGGUGGUUGAAUGAUAAGUUACUGGCGUACAGGAACGGGAGUCUCAGACGAAAGGCUUUCCGCGCUGCUUUUGUGCUGUAUAUUACCCAGGACAUCCUGCAAAAACAUGUUUAACGAUAUUACUCCGAUUUUUGCAAAAUAGCUCGCCGUAUACAGAACCAAAGUGAAGGAACGGCUGCUAGUACUUCUAACGACCAAAGCUAUUCUAUCCCCAACAGUGUUUUCCUCAUCUUCAUAAUUAAAUAAACGACCGAGCAUUUGUA